rnacentral:tRNA from 1 species
GCACUCGUGGCCGAGUGGUUAAGGCGAUGUACUAGAAAUCCAUUGUCUUGUCGACUGCG